CAGGGAUUGCCUCAGUAACGGCGAGUGAAGCGGCAACAGCUCAAAUUUGAAAUCUGGCGGCCUCUGGGCCGUCCGAGUUGUAAUUUGAAGAGGAUGCUUUUGGCGAGGCGCCUUCCGAGUGCCCUGGAACGGGACGCCACAGAGGGUGAGAGCCCCGUAUGGUUGGACGCCGAGCCUCUGUAAAGCUCCUUCGACGAGUCGAGUAGUUUGGGAAUGCUGCUCAAAAUGGGAGGUAAACCCCUUCUAAAGCUAAAUACUGGCCAGAGACCGAUAGCGCACAAGUAGAGUGAUCGAAAGAUGAAAAGCACUUUGAAAAGAGAGUUAAAUAGCACGUGAAAUUGUUGAAAGGGAAGCGCUUGCGACCAGACUUGUGCCCGUCGAAUCAGCCGCCGCUCGCCGGCGGCGCACUUCGGCGGGCUCAGGCCAGCAUCAGUUCGCUGCAGGGGGAGAAAGGCGGCGGGAAUGUGGCUCUUCGGAGUGUUAUAGCCCGCCGCGCAAUACCCCUCGGCGGACUGAGGACCGCGCAUCUGCAAGGAUGCUGGCGUAAUGGUCGUCAGCGACCCGUCUUGAAACACGGACCAAGGAGUCGUCCUAAUAUGCGAGUGUUCGGGUGUAAAACCCCUGCGCGUAAUGAAAGUGAACGGAGGUGAGAGCUUCGGCGCAUCAUCGACCGAUCCUGAUGUUCUCGGAUGGAUUUGAGUAAGAGCAUAUUGGGCCGGACCCGAAAGAAGGUGAACUAUGCCUGUAUAGGGUAAAGCCAGAGGAAACUCUGGUGGAGGCUCGCAGCGGUUCUGACGUGCAAAUCGAUCGUCAAAUAUGGGCAUGGGGGCGAAAGA
rnacentral:rRNA from 1 species